rnacentral:rRNA from 1 species
UCCUCCAAGGCUAAAUACUCCUGACUGACCGAUAGUGAACCAGUACCGUGAGGGAAAGGCGAAAAGAACCCCGGCGAGGGGAGUGAAAAAGAACCUGAAACCGUGUACGUACAAGCAGUGGGAGCACAGAGCAAUCUGUGUGACUGCGUACCUUUUGUAUAAUGGGUCAGCGACUUAUAUUCUGUAGCAAGGUUAACCGAAUAGGGGAGCCGAAGGGAAACCGAGUCUUAACUGGGCGUUAAGUUGCAGGGUAUAGACCCGAAACCCGGUGAUCUAGCCAUGGCAGGUUGAAGGUUGGGUAACACUAACUGGAGGACCGAACCGACUAAUGUUGAAAAAUUAGCGGAUGACUUGUGGCUGGGGGUGAAAGGCCAAUCAAACCGGGAGAUAGCUGGUUCUCCCCGAAAGCUAUUUAGGUAGCGCCUCGUGAAUUCAUCUCCGGGGGUAGAGCACUGUUUCGGCAAGGGGGUCAUCCCGACUUACCAACCCGAUGCAAACUGCGAAUACCGGAGAAUGUUAUCACGGGAGACACACGGCGGGUGCUAACGUCCGUCGUGAAGAGGGAAACAACCCAGACCGCCAGCUAAGGUCCCAAAGUCAUGGUUAAGUGGGAAACGAUGUGGGAAGGCCCAGACAGCCAGGAUGUUGGCUUAGAAGCAGCCAUCAUUUAAAGAAAGCGUAAUAGCUCACUGGUCGAGUCGGCCUGCGCGGAAGAUGUAACGGGGCUAAACCAUGCACCGAAGCUGCGGCAGCGACACUGUGUGUUGUUGGGUAGGGGAGCGUUCUGUAAGCCUGUGAAGGUGUCUGUGAGGAUGCUGGAGGUAUCAGAAGUGCGAAUGCUGACAUAAGUAACGAUAAAGCGGGUGAAAAGCCCGCUCGCCGGAAGACCAAGGGUUCCUGUCCAACGUUAAUCGGGGCAGGGUGAGUCGACCCCUAAGGCGAGGCCGAAAGGCGUAGUCGAUGGGAAACAGGUUAAUAUUCCUGUACUUGGUGUUACUGCGAAGGGGGGACGGAGAAGGCUAUGUUGGCCGGGCGACGGUUGUCCCGGUUUAAGCGUGUAGGCUGGUUUUCCAGGCAAAUCCGGAAAAUCAAGGCUGAGGCGUGAUGACGAGGCACUACGGUGCUGAAGCAACAAAUGCCCUGCUUCCAGGAAAAGCCUCUAAGCAUCAGGUAACAUCAAAUCGUACCCCAAACCGACACAGGUGGUCAGGUAGAGAAUACCAAGGCGCUUGAGAGAACUCGGGUGAAGGAACUAGGCAAAAUGGUGCCGUAACUUCGGGAGAAGGCACGCUGAUAUGUAGGUGAAGUCCCUCGCGGAUGGAGCUGAAAUCAGUCGAAGAUACCAGCUGGCUGCAACUGUUUAUUAAAAACACAGCACUGUGCAAACACGAAAGUGGACGUAUACGGUGUGACGCCUGCCCGGUGCCGGAAGGUUAAUUGAUGGGGUCAGCGCAAGCGAAGCUCUUGAUCGAAGCCCCGGUAAACGGCGGCCGUAACUAUAACGGUCCUAAGGUAGCGAAAUUCCUUGUCGGGUAAGUUCCGACCUGCACGAAUGGCGUAAUGAUGGCCAGGCUGUCUCCACCCGAGACUCAGUGAAAUUGAACUCGCUGUGAAGAUGCAGUGUACCCGCGGCAAGACGGAAAGACCCCGUGAACCUUUACUAUAGCUUGACACUGAACAUUGAGCCUUGAUGUGUAGGAUAGGUGGGAGGCUUUGAAGUGUGGACGCCAGUCUGCAUGGAGCCGACCUUGAAAUACCACCCUUUAAUGUUUGAUGUUCUAACGUGGACCCGUGAUCCGGGUUGCGGACAGUGUCUGGUGGGUAGUUUGACUGGGGCGGUCUCCUCCUAAAGAGUAACGGAGGAGCACGAAGGUUGGCUAAUCCUGGUCGGACAUCAGGAGGUUAGUGCAAUGGCAUAAGCCAGCUUGACUGCGAGCGUGACGGCGCGAGCAGGUGCGAAAGCAGGUCAUAGUGAUCCGGUGGUUCUGAAUGGAAGGGCCAUCGCUCAACGGAUAAAAGGUACUCCGGGGAUAACAGGCUGAUACCGCCCAAGAGUUCAUAUCGACGGCGGUGUUUGGCACCUCGAUGUCGGCUCAUCACAUCCUGGGGCUGAAGUAGGUCCCAAGGGUAUGGCUGUUCGCCAUUUAAAGUGGUACGCGAGCUGGGUUUAGAACGUCGUGAGACAGUUCGGUCCCUAUCUGCCGUGGGCGCUGGAGAACUGAGGGGGGCUGCUCCUAGUACGAGAGGACCGGAGUGGACGCAUCACUGGUGUUCGGGUUGUCAUGCCAAUGGCACUGCCCGGUAGCUAAAUGCGGAAGAGAUAAGUGCUGAAAGCAUCUAAGCACGAAACUUGCCCCGAGAUGAGUUCUCCCUGACCCUUUAAGGGUCCUGAAGGAACGUUGAAGACGACGACGUUGAUAGGCCGGGUGUGUAAGCGCAGCGAUGCGUUGAGCUAACCGGUACUAAUGAACCGUGAGGCUUAACCU